rnacentral:rRNA from 1 species
UACCAGCUCUCCGAGUGGUAGGGAUGAUUAUUGGGCUUAAAGCGUCCGUAGCCGGCUUAGCAAGUCUCCUGUAAAAUUCAGCGACCUAAUCGUUGAGCCGCGGGAGACACUACUAGGCUAGGAGGCGGGAGAGGCCGACGGUAUUCUCGGGGUAGGGUGAAAUCCCAUAAUCCCGGGAGGACCACCAGUGGCGAAGGCUGUCGGCUAGAACGCGCUCGACGGUGAGAGACGAAAGCUGGGGGAGCGAACCGGAUUAGAUACCCGGGUAGUCCCAGCUGCAAACGAUGCGGGCUAGGGUGUUGGGGUGGCUACGAGCCACUUCAGUGCCGCAGGGAAGCCAUUAAGCCCGCCGCCUGGGGAGUACGGCCGCAAGGCUGAAACUUAAAGGAUUGGCGGGGGAGCACCACAAGGCCUGAAGCUUGCGGUUC